rnacentral:rRNA from 1 species
GUGGGGAAUCUUGCGCAAUGGCCUAACGGCUGACGCAGCGACGCCGCGUGUGGGAUGAAGCUCUUCGGAGUGUAAACCACUGUUGCCCGGGACGAAUAGCUCGAUUAAUCGAGCCUGACAGUACCGGGUGAGGAAGCACCGGCUAACUCCGUGCCAGCAGCCGCGGUAAUACGGGGGGUGCGAGCGUUGUCCGGAAUCACUGGGCGUAAAGGGCGCGUAGGUGGUUUGAUAAGGGUGUGGUGAAAGUCCGGGGCUCAACCCCGGAUCUGCCGUGCCGACUGUCAAACUCGAGGGCUGUAGAGGCAGGCGGAAUUCCGGGUGUAGCGGUGGAAUGCGUAGAGAUCCGGAGGAAGACCGGUGGCGAAGGCGGCCUGCUGGGCAGUUUCUGACACUGAUGCGCGACAGCGUGGGGAGCAAACAGGAUUAGAAACCCUAGUAGUCC